GCAGGCUGCAACCCGCCUGCGUGAAGUUGGAAUCGCUAGUAAUCGCGGAUCAGCAUGCCGCGGUGAAUACGUUCCCGGGCCUUGUACACACCGCCCGUCACACCAUGAGAGUCGGGAACACCCGAAGUCCGUAGCCUAACUUUAACGAGGGGGCGCGGCCGAAGGUGGGUUCGAUAAUUGGGGUGAAGUCGUAACAAGGUACC
rnacentral:rRNA from 1 species